rnacentral:rRNA from 1 species
AUACGGAGGGUGCGAGCGUUAAUCGGAAUUACUGGGCGUAAAGCGCGCGUAGGCGGCUAGGUCAGUCGGAUGUGAAAGCCCUGGGCUUAACCUGGGAAUUGCAUUCGAUACUGUCUGGCUAGAGUAUGGGAGAGGGAAGCGGAAUUUCCGGUGUAGCGGUGAAAUGCGUAGAUAUCGGAAGGAACACCAGUGGCGAAGGCGGCUUCCUGGCCCAAUACUGACGCUCAGGUGCGGAAGCGUGGGUAGCGAACAGGAUUAGAAACCCCGGUAGUCC